AUUGAACGCUGGCGGCAGGCCUAACACAUGCAAGUCGAACGGAGCGGCGGACGGGUGAGUAAUGCCUAGGAAUCUGCCUGUUAGUGGGGGAUACCGACCAGAAACGGGAGCUAAUACCACAUACUAUCGGAUUAGCCUGGGUCGGAUUAGCUAGUUGGUGGGGUAAAGGCUUACCAAGGCGACGAUCCGUACCUGGUCUGAGAGGAUGAUCAGGCACACUGGAACUAAGACACGGCCCAGACUCCUACGGGAGGCAGCAGUGGGGAAUAUUGGACAAUGGGCGAAACCCUGAUCCAGCCAUGCCGCGUGUGUGAAGAAGGUCUUCGGAUUGUAAAGCACUUUAAGUUGGUAGGCGUUACCAACAGAAUAAGCACCGGCUAACUACGUGCCAGCAGCCGCGGUAAUAC
rnacentral:rRNA from 1 species